UCCACCUCGAGCUAGAUCGCCGCCGCCGCCGUGAUGGGGUUCACGAAGGCUCAGCUGCUCGCCCGCUUGCAGGAACUUCAUGCUAACUUUGCUUCGUACGAUCACCCUGUAGUGUUGACAGUUGAAGCUCAGGCGAAGUAUGUUGGACAUUUGGGAGGUGGACUAAGCAAAAACUUGUUUUUGAAGGACAAAAAACAGAGGUUUUAUGUUGUAUCUGCAUUGUCAGGCACAAAUAUCGAUUUGAAAGUUCUGUCCCAGCGGCUUGGUUUGGGGAAAG
rnacentral:misc_RNA from 1 species